rnacentral:ncRNA from 1 species
AUCCUUUGGUAGUUCAUAGGUGUGACGACUGGGUAUUCAUGCACAUGUGUGAGAUGUGCCACCCUGGCAG